AGGACGAACGCUGGCGGCGUGCUUCACACAUGCAAGUCGAACGGGGCUCAUUCGGUGGUAACACCGGAGAAGGCCUAGUGGCGAACGGGUGCGUAACACGUGAAGAACCUGCCCCGAAGACUGGGAUAACAGCGGGAAACCGCUGCUAAUACCGGAUGACCCCACCAGGCCGCAUGGCCAGGUGAGGAAAUGGGCCUACCGCUUCGGGAGGCUUCGCGGCCUAUCAGCUUGUUGGUGGGUAACGGCCUACCAAGGCUACGACGGGUAGCUGGUCUGAGAGGACGACCAGCCACACUGGGACUGAGACACGGCCCAGACUCCUACGGGAGGCAGCAGUGGGGAAUCUUGCGCAAUGGGCGAAAGCCUGACGCAGCAACGCCGCGUGAGGGAUGAAGGUCUUCGGGUUGUAAACCUCUUUCGAGCAGGGACGAUUGUGACGGUACCUGCAGAAGAAGCUCCGGCCAACUACGCGCCAGCAGCCGCGGU
rnacentral:rRNA from 1 species